CAUCACUGAACCAACUGUCGUCAUUCCGCUUUGCUCUCUGCUGUGGAACUUGACUCACAUCUGUGCUUUGCCUGUGUGCAGAAGAAGAACAAGGACCAGAUCUCCAGUCUUCUCUCUCACAUCCCAACCCCCCAACCCCUCUAUCCUCUGUACUGCUCCACCUGUUGUCUCUGCCUUCUUUCCAUCUGUAUUUCACCCUGUGGUUUGUGAGAAAUUUUGCCAAACCAAGAAUCUUAUUGCGGUUUGAUUUCAAAGCCGUGUCUCUCCUGCUCUGCCUGUUCUCUCUUCUAAAUUUUCUCUCUACCUGUUUUUCACUCUUGGCUUGCUGCUGAAAAAUGCCAAGCCAUUGAAGCAAUAAAGAGUGCAUAUAUUGCCUCUACCUGAGAACAAACUGAACAAACAAAGAAAACUCUAAUUCACGGUUUGAUUGUGAUUUCCCAGCCGUGUCUCUCCUGCUCUGCCUGUUCUCUCUUCUAGAUUUUCUCUCUACCUGUUUUUCAUUCUGGGCUUGCUGCU